rnacentral:lncRNA from 1 species
ACAAAACUACAGUGGAAUAAAGAGUAAGGAGAAUUUUGAGUCAUUCUUGUACAAUUGAAAUUUAAGAGCAAGGUUGCUUCUGUACCCCUAUACAGACUUGGCGCUGUGCCUCCACACUAGCUGCCAGAAAGAUGACAAACGACAAUCAAAGAAAUCACCAGGAGACAAUGGCCUCAUGAGAAAAUCUGAAAUUUCGGUAAGUGCAAUCAAAGACAA